CUCGUCUGCUGUCCCUCCAAAGCUUCCUGUGUGGGAAAUGAAAAGCUUCUCUUCACAUCCUCCUUUCUCCUUGGCAGGCUGAUUCCUGCCCUCCCUCCGAGGUUACAGGAGCCUGUGACAUUAUCUGCCAACUCCCAGGAAAGGCUCUAGGCCAUGGUUUGGAGCCCCGAAGAUGCAGCAAGAGAUGCUGUGCCAGGUGCAUUGGUGUUUUGCCUGAAUGUAUGUCUAUGAGAGUGUUGGAACUGGAACUCCCUGGAACUGGAGUUACACAGUUGUGAACUGCCAUGUGGGUGUUGGGAGUUGAACAUGGGUCCUUUGAAAGACGAUUCUUAACCACUGAGCCAACUUUCCAGUCCCUGAAUAUCACUUUUCUAUAUUUUAGGUAAUUGGACUGAAGAAUUCGAUACUACGAUGGAGCAGCUGAGAGUGGCCAUUGUUACGGCAAAUUCUACCAGAGUGGACGCAGGACUAGCCACAGGAUUAUCAUCAUGGAUUGCUGCAGCCAUGAAUCAUCUGAAGGAAUGGGCGGGCAUGGGAGCAUUAGCAGGCCUUCUGGUGUUGGUCUCCUUGGUUUGCCUGUGGUGUAUAUGCAAGAUUAGAGUCUCACAACAGCGUAAUGCAGCUAUGAUCAUUCAGGCCUUUACAGCCAUUGAUGCUCAGACUCUUUAGUAACAGUGUCUUGAUCCUCAUUCUCCCUAGCCUGUUCCAGGAUGUAUUUAAAGUAUGCAACGUCAGACACAUGUGUGUUUGUUGUGUUUGCUGCUCUGUGGACUUUACUGUACUUCAUGGCUUUGUUCUUCCUAAGAGCUUCCUAUGUUCCCUUUCACUGGUUGCAUUUCUCUGGAAUCUCCUGCCUGUGCUGGCUAGUAUUAUGUCAACUUGACACAAACUGUAGUUAUUUUGGAAGAGGGAACCUCAAUUGAGAAACAUGACCCCACUAAAUUGGCCUAUGUACAAACCUGUAGUGCAUUUUCUUGAUUAAUGGCUGAUGUGGGAGAGUUGAGCUCACCGUGAGAGGUGUCUCCCCUGGGCUGCUGCUCCUGUGCUAUAAGAAAGCAGGCUGAGCCAGGCACGGUGGCGCACACCUGUAAUCCCAGCACUUGGGGAGCAGAGGCAAGCAGAUCUCUGAGUUCGAGACCAACCUGGUCUGCAAAGUGAGUCCAGGACAGCCAAGGCUACACAGAGAAAUCCUGUCUUGAAAAAAAGAGAAGCAAAACAUGAUAACAACAACAAUAAAAAAAAGGAAUUAAGCAAGCUGAGCAAGAAAUGGGGAUGCUCCAAAGGUAUCUGUCCCCCAUGGUAUCUGCCUCAGUUCCUUCCUCCAGGCUCCUGCCCUGCUUGAUUUCCUGUGCCAACUUCCUUUCAUGAUGUGAUGGACUGUGGUAUGGAACUGUCCUUGAAAUAAACCUUUUCCUCCCCAAGUUGCUUUUAGUCACGGAGUUUUGUCACAACAAUAGAAUCCCUAACUAAGGCAUUUUCUCUAUGGAUUGUAUUUCUGGCUUUUUCAGGUGUAUGUGGUUAGCUUUAGACUCUCAAUAUCACUGCGGACUUGAAAACCUAAAAUAAAUCGAUAUUUCUACCCUCAACAAGCCAGGAAAGUUGAGACCUUGUAACUCGGAACUAUUAAGCUUGAAUGACUUGAGUCCAGCUCUCCAUCCACUGCUUGAUUGUCCAUCUUGUUUUUGUAAACUCCAAGUUAUGUAUUUUUAUACUUGUUAUCAUAAUUAUAUUCUGGUCACCCUUGAGUUUUAUGUCUCACACUUUCCUUCCAAUUCACCUCCUUCAUUUUUUUCUUUCCAGGGUAUCUUACAUGUCUUUGAGUCUUCAUUCUCCUGAAUACCUCUACAGUUCUUUACAUUUUGAUCAUAGCUUACACUUGGCAAUUAUUUUAGACUGCAAGAGCUAGUUAUGGGCUGGCAGGAAUUUUUUUUCCCUUUGGCAUUUUAAAGACAAAAUUCAUUAUACUCUGGCCUCAACACUGUUGUGGAGAUUCGCUGCCCAAACAAUUGUAGUUUAUUUGCUGUCUAAGUUUUUUUUUUUUUUCCUGACUUCAGUAUUUGGCAUUUUCACCAUGAUGUGCCUAAGUUAGUGCUUAUUCAUCAUGCCAAACCACUGUGCUUUUUAAAAUAUACCAAGUCAAAUUCAUCUUCAAUGUGAAUGUAGCUCUGUUCUUUCCAUUCCAAACUAUUGAGCAUUUACUGAUGGUUUAGCACUUUAUCCCCUGCUUUUCAUCUUCUCAUAUUUCUGUCCUUUGUCACUCAUUGUAUUCUACUUGAGUUAAUCUCUUGGUCCUUUAUUAGAGUCUCUUGAAGCUUCUAGUUUAUUUAUUUUCUUUCCUAUAUUUCUACAAUGUUCCCACAAAAUUUUUCUUUCAAAGUCUGCAUUUUAAAUUUCUAUUUUGC